GCCUGGAAAACAGGAGGCCUGGAAAACUGGUGCCGCUCUCUCUCGGGUCAAGCUCUCGUCUCCGGCUCUUUGGCUCCUAUCGCCUAGAGCAGAGCUGUUUCUUAAACAACGCGCAGCUUAGGCGGGUAGGUGGUGGGAGGCGGGAAGCGGUGUCGUCGGAUUUGCCUGCGGUCCGCAGCUCCGCUGAGCCUGGAGGCCGCCCGAAUGGAGCCGCUGCUCCCGAUCGGAGCCCAGCCCCUUGCCACCAUCGAGGGUUUGGAGAUGAAGGGUCCCCUCCGGGAGCCCUGCGCCCUGACUCUUGCCCAGAGGAACGGACAGUAUGAGUUUAUAAUCCAGUUGCAAGAGAAAGAACACGUUCAAGAUAUUAUUCCUAUAAAUAGCCACUUCAGAUGUGUUCAAGAAGCAGAAGAAACACUUUUGAUUGACAUCGCUUCAAAUAGUGGCUGCAAAAUUCGUGUUCAAGGGGACUGGACCAGAGAGCGUCGUUUUGAAAUCCCUGAUGAAGAACACUGUUUGAAAUUCCUCUCAGAGGUCCUUGCUGCUCAGGAAGCUCAGUCUCAGCUUCUUGUUCCAGAGCAAAAAGACUCAUCCAGCUGGUAUCAGAAAUUAGACACUAAGGACAAGCCUUCUAUUUUUCCAGGACUUCUUGGAUUUGAGGAUAAUUUUUCAUCCAUGAAUUUAGACAAGAAAAUGAAUUCACAAAAUCAGUCUACAGGGAUUCACCGGGAGCCCCCACCCCCACCCCCAUCUGUGAAUAGAAUGCUUCCACGUGAAAAAGAAGCUUCUAACAAGGAACUGCCUAAAGUGACCAACACCAUGAGGAAGCUCUUUGUACCAAAUACUCAGUCUGGGACACGAGAAGGUCUCAUCAAACAUAUCCUGGCAAAGCGAGAGAAAGAAUAUGUCAACAUACAGACUUUCAAGUUUUUUGUUGGAACUUGGAAUGUGAAUGGCCAGUCUCCAGAUAGUGGGUUAGAACCUUGGCUGAACUGUGAUCCGAAUCCUCCUGAUAUCUACUGCAUUGGAUUCCAAGAGCUAGACUUGAGCACAGAAGCCUUUUUCUACUUUGAAUCUGUAAAGGAACAAGAAUGGUGCAUGGCUGUAGAGAGAGGUUUGCAUUCCAAAGCCAAGUAUAAGAAAGUUCAACUAGUCCGCCUUGUUGGGAUGAUGCUCCUUAUAUUUGCCAGAAAGGAUCAAUAUCGGUAUAUUCGUGAUGUUGCUACAGAAACAGUUGGAACUGGGAUCAUGGGGAAAAUGGGAAACAAAGGUGGAGUAGCCGUGAGAUUUGUGUUUCACAACACUACCUUCUGCAUUGUCAAUUCCCACCUGGCUGCCCACGUGGAAGACUUUGAGAGAAGAAAUCAAGAUUAUAAAGACAUCUGUGCAAGAAUGAGUUUUGUAGUCCCCAGUCAGACCCUCCCACAACUGAACAUCAUGAAACAUGAUGUUGUCAUUUGGUUGGGAGAUUUGAACUAUAGGCUUUGCAUGCCUGAUGCCAAUGAGGUGAAAAGUCUUAUUAAUAAGAAUGACCUUCAGAGACUCUUAAAAUUUGACCAGCUAAAUAUUCAACGCACACAAAAAAAAGCAUUUAUUGACUUCAACGAAGGGGAAAUCAAGUUUAUCCCUACUUACAAAUAUGACUCCAAAACAGACCGAUGGGAUUCUAGUGGAAAAUGUCGGAUUCCAGCAUGGUGUGACCGAAUCCUUUGGAGAGGAACAAAUGUUAAUCAGCUUAAUUAUCGGAGUCACAUGGAACUGAAAACCAGCGACCACAAGCCUGUGAGCGCCCUCUUCCAUAUUGGGGUGAAAGUUGUGGAUGAACGGAGGUAUCGGAAAGUCUUUGAGGAUAUUGUGCGCAUUAUGGAUAGAAUGGAAAAUGACUUCCUUCCUUCCCUUGAACUCAGCAGAAGAGAGUUUGUGUUUGAGAAUGUGAAGUUUCGGCAACUACAAAAGGAGAAGUUCCAGAUCAGCAACAAUGGACAGGUUACCUGCCAUUUUUCUUUCAUCCCUAAACUUAAUGACAGCCAGUACUGCAAGCCAUGGCUUCGGGCUGAACCUUUUGAGGGCUACUUGGAGCCAAAUGAGACAGUGGACAUUUCUCUUGAUGUAUAUGUCAGCAAAGACUCUGUGACCAUCUUAAACUCAGGGGAAGAUAAAAUUGAAGAUAUUCUUGUCCUUCAUUUGGAUAGAGGCAAAGAUUACUUCCUGACAAUCAGUGGAAAUUACCUACCAAGCUGUUUUGGUACAUCAUUAGAGGCUUUGUGCCGAAUGAAAAGACCAAUCAGAGAAGUUCCGGUCACCAAACUCAUAGACUUGGAAGAAGACAGCUUCCUAGAAAAGGAAAAAUCCGUCCUACAGAUGGUUCCCUUGGAUGAAGGUGCCAGUGAGAGACCACUUCAGGUCCCCAAGGAGAUCUGGCUUUUAGUAGAUCACUUAUUCAAAUAUGCAUGUCACCAGGAGGACCUGUUCCAAACCCCUGGAAUGCAGGAAGAGUUACAGCAGAUUAUUGACUGUCUGGAUACCAGCAUCCCAGAGACAAUCCCUGGCAGUAAUCACUCUGUGGCUGAAGCACUGCUCAUUUUCCUGGAAGCCCUGCCAGAACCAGUCAUCUGUUACGAGCUGUAUCAACGAUGUCUUGACUCUGCUCAUGAUCCUAGGAUCUGCCGACAGAUCAUUUCCCAGCUUCCAAGAUGCCAUAGAAAUGUUUUCCGUUACCUGAUGGCAUUCCUUCGAGAACUCUUGAAGUUUUCUGAAUACAACAACGUCAGUGCUAACAUGAUCGCUACUCUCUUCACCAGUCUUCUCCUAAGGCCUCCGCCAAACCUUAUGGCAAGACCGACAUCAAGUGACCGCCAGCGUGCCAUCCAGUUCCUUCUGGGAUUUCUGCUCGGAAGUGAUGAAGACUAAGUGUUUUCUUCUCUGAGAUUCUAGAAGAGGAAGAUCUUGGGCUCCAAUUAUGUCAGAAUGAUUGGAAGAGUAAUGCCACAGGAAAGGUCUAUUGUGGAAUCUCAAGUUCUUUUAGUGUUACAAAAUCCCUCCUUCGCCAUAUCCUCCACAGCAGAAUACUUGUAGACUUAUACUGCCAAGCCAAAGUUACCAUAUUUUGAUGUUUUCUCUUUAUAAGGCAAAGAGGUAUUUAUACUCCUUUACCUAAGGAUGUAUUUGUUGCCUUCUGCCAAGUUGUCAUAGCUGUCCUUGGUACCCCAGGCCUUCAUUGUGAGAUUUUCACAUUCUAGCCCUAAAAACACUACUUGGUAUUGCUCAAGACUUGUUUUCAGCCCUUUGUACAAAGCACUUUGGACCCACUUUCUUCCCAUCACUCCUUUGCACUGUACUCCACUCAUUCUAUCACUUUGAAGGAAUCCUGGGUAAGACUGACUCCUUGGGUAUCCUCAACAGUGAGUUCACUGUCCACCUGUGGUCGUUCAUGCAUUCAUGCAUUUCUACUACAGUGGCAUCUGUAUGUCACUGUAACAUUGGCCUUUUCCUGGAUCUACUCCAGGUGGGACCGUAUGUUCUUGUCUCAGAUCACAUUUACUAACUAACUUUAGGAAGUAUAAAGACGGCAUCGUGUCAGUAUAAGAGAAUCACACUUAAAAUGGAAGCACUUUGAGUAUUUUAAGAAUAUAAGUGUUCAUGUUUGACAGAGUAUGCUUCCUGCUCUCUCUUCCUAUUAUGAUUCACAUUUUACAUGAGGAUCAAGCCUGGAUAUUAGAAGACCCAUCCCCACUUAGAAGUCUGCCUUCAGAGCAACACUUAUACCGCAGUAAACAAGGGAGUCUGUGUACUUCAAGCAGGCCCCUUUGGAGUUAUUGCACCUCCCUCAGUAAGAGUGUUGAGGAUGACCGUGAGAACCCAUUCUCCAAUCUUCUGACGUACCAAAGGACAGAUAGUCCCCCCUCCCUCAGCAGAGCUGACUCUGUCUGGACCCCUCACCCAGCUCCUUCAAGUGAAGGAUACAGAGAUUCCACUUGGCCCCCAAUCUCUGUCCAGUGUUGCGUAAGAAAGACUGGUCAGUGGGACCAGCUACACACCUUACCUCUCCCACUCAAGAGGACCCUCUGAGCUUUUUCAUUUAUUCAAGCUUUGUGGGACAGCCUUUUAAAAAAUAUAAUUUGUUGGUUGACAAGCCACCAGCCACUGACUGCAGAACUGGCUUCCCAUGGUUUUCUUUCACUAAAGUUGAUUCAUUCUUGCGUGGUAACAUAAGAUACAAGGAGCAUCAUGUACAGACUGUGCUGUCCUAGGCACUGAUUCCAUGACUCUUCUAACCCAUCCAAGGAGAGGGCCAGGGGAUACUCCACUCUACCACUGAAUGGUUCUACAGCUCCCCUGUCUCUUGAAAGUUGAGUUCCCUGGGGAAGAAAAGAACCUUCGCUUUGUACCACUAUGUGAACUGACCAAACACCAGGAUACCGUUGCCACUUUGAGAGUGAAACCUGCAAGAGAACGGAAACCAAGCUAAACAUAUUAUGGGCUUCCUCAUGAUGCAUUGCAGAAAAAUCCUUUGGAACUGGUUCAUGGGAAGAGAAUGUAAAGGUUUGGAGAUGCCAGCUUGAGAAGCAGCCCUAGAAUGCUGUAAGCUGGGCUUGAUGGGCGAUUUCUGAUCUAAGCUCAGAAGAUGAAAAUACUGUCAGAAAUGCGGAUAAAAAAGUCAGGCGCAGGAGCUUCCAGUUGGGAACAAGGACUUCAUUGGCAGUUCAUUAUAGACCAUGUGUGUCAUGCUCUGGCAAAAAAAAAAAAAAAAAAAAAAAAAACUGUCUACAUUUUGUUCAUGUGCUGCGACUUUGGGAGAGACUGAGAAUGAGGGUGGUAAACAAAGUAACCUGACAGAGGAGAAUGCAAGGCAGGCAGACAUUCAGACUAAGGCUUGAGUACUUUUGGGAGCUUCUACCCAGCUCCAUAUUGUGAAUCAGUAAGAAAAAAAAAUCUGAAACAUUUAAAAAUUUUGCAUUUGGCCAGAAAGAAAGCUCCACUAAAAUUGGAGCCUACAAACAUGAAACAAAGGAGAGAUUCACUGCCAAAAAGAUUAGCAUUUUAAAAACCCAAGGGUGAAACAGAUGAACCCAUGGCUCCAUAGUAGGGAGAGACCCCACAAUCCCGUGCACUGGUCCCUGACCAAUUCCACAAUCGUCAAUUCCAAACCCUAGUCACAGUCACCACCAGUUUUGAGCCAGCUCACCAAUUCUGAGUUUCCCCUCUGCAUGAGACCAAUACACAUGCCAACCAACAAGCUGAUCUGAUCUUGGGUGAAGCCAAAGUCUGGUAUAGAAGAUCAUGGUUGGAUUCCACUUAAUUUACCUGAGUAUAUUGGAGAUACUUCGUUGUUGCAAAUAGUCCUAAAAAGCCCAGAGCCACGCAGAUGACCAACAAACAACCAACCUGAUAGAGAAAGGGGUCAGUGACCUGGAGAAGAGUAAAGUCUGAAAGAGUCACCUGCUUCAGGGAGAAAUAAUGGAUGCGCUAGCCCCAAGAAAAGCUCACAGUUGUUGUAAACAAAAAUAAGUCAAAUCAAAUCCAGUGUGAGGUUUUUCCUGAGGGUUACUUCUCCACAGUGGGAUAGAAUUGGACAGAAGGAUUCAGUACAGCACCUGUCAUACUGUCAGAGAGACUUUAAUCAGGUGCCAUUACAGGAAAUGAUUGAUCAUGUGGGACUGAGCCAGAGAACAACAAAACAGCUUCACUCCAGAACUGAAGUGUUACCCUGACAAAGUGACUAAGUGAGAAACAGCCGUGGGAGACAGACUUUUGACAGGGUGAGGGCUAGACACAGAUCUCCAAAGAUUCCCUGAGUUCAAACUCAGACAGGAAGAACAUGGAGCCUGCAUUCUGCAGUGGGAGGACAGGUUUCAUGGACCUGGCUUUCAGAGGUGGCUGCAUCUGAGGGUGAUGGCACUGAGCCUAGUAGUCUGCUUGAGUCCCUGCCCUGCUGCUUACAUCCAGAGAAGCCCAGUGGUCUGAUUCCUUUUGCAUGUACCACCCAAGUGAGGCUAUAUCUCAGCUUGGAUUGUUGUUGUGGACUGGGGUUUACAGAUGAAGAGACCCCUUGAACACACAGGUCACCAGAAAAACCACAGGCUAUAAAGAGGGGCAGAGAAGACUGUGACUCUCUAAAUUCCAAAAAUGUAGAUCCUGGAAGAAAAUCACACAUCUGGAAAUGCAUAAGAAUGUUGUUUUAUUUUUAUUAUAAACCAAAUUUUUCCUCCUUUAUUGGUUUUUGGGUUUUUUUCUUUUAGUUUUUUGGUGGUGUUGAGAAUUUUAGCUCCCAUUUCCCCUACCCUUUUUUAUUUUUAUUAUUAUCUUUGUUUAUUUGUUUGAUUAGGUCUUCUUUUUGUUUCUCUUUUGUCUUUUCUCACUCUCUUUUAAUUUCAUACUUUAUUACUUUAUUAUUUUUCUUUUUUUUUCCUCUGAGUUACUUUUUUUUUUUUUUUUUUUUUUGAGCCAAGGAUUGAACUCAUGACCUCCUGCUUGCCAGGCAGGCGCUUAAGCCACUGAGCUAAAUCCCCAGCCCCUCUGCUUUACUUUCUAUGUUUUAUCAUUUAUCCUUUUCUUCGGUGGUUUUUUGUUACUUUUACUAAUAUUACUAAUUUCCUCUUUAAUAGGAGCCGUUAUUUCAGUUUUAUCACCCUAUUCUAAUGUUCUAUUGCUUAAUUUUUUGAAUUCUACGUUUUUCAGGCUCCCAUCCCCUGCUUCUUUUAUCCUUACAGGUGUAAUCAUUAAGCUUUGUGACUCUGUAGGUAGUUAACUAUAUCUUACUAUGGUUAAACGGAGUUCUAUUGUUAAUGGAUGUAAUAUUUUUCUACUGAAUAAAUAUUUAAUUUAGAUCAA